UACAGAGGGUGCGAGCGUUGUCCGGAAUCACUGGGCGUAAAGGGCGCGUAGGCGGCUUUUCAAGCGUGCGGUGAAAGCUCGGGGCUUAACUCCGAGUCUGCCGUGCGAACUGGGAGGCUUGAGUCUGGUAGAGGUCGAUGGAAUUCCGGGUGUAGCGGUGGAAUGCGUAGAGAUCCGGAAGAACACCGGUGGCGAAGGCGGUCGACUGGGCCAGUACUGACGCUGAGGCGCGACAGCGUGGGAGCAAACAGG
rnacentral:rRNA from 1 species